rnacentral:rRNA from 1 species
AUACGUAGGUGGCAAGCGUUGUCCGGAUUUACUGGGCGUAAAGGGAGCGUAGGUGGAUAUUUAAGUGGGAUGUGAAAUACUCGGGCUUAACCUGGGUGCUGCAUUCCAAACUGGAUAUCUAGAGUGCAGGAGAGGAAAGGAGAAUUCCUAGUGUAGCGGUGAAAUGCGUAGAGAUUAGGAAGAAUACCAGUGGCGAAGGCGCCUUUCUGGACUGUAACUGACACUGAGGCUCGAAAGCGUGGGGAGCAAACAGGAUUAGAUACCCUGGUAGUCCACGCCGUAAACGAUGAGUACUAGGUGUCGGGGGUUACCCCCCUCGGUGCCGCAGCAAACGCAUUAAGCACUCCGCCUGGGGAGUACGACCGCAAGGUUGGA